rnacentral:rRNA from 1 species
AUUGCACGCUGGCGGCAGGCCUAACACAUGCAAGUCGAGCGAGCGGCGGACGGGUGAGUAAUGUAUGGGGACUGCCCGAUAGAGGGGGAUAACUACUGGCAACGGUGGCUAAUACCGCAUACUAUCGGAGACCCCAUCUGGGAUUAGCUAUUCGGUGGGGUAAAGGCUCACCUAGGCGACGAUCUCUAGCUGGUCUGUGAGGAUGAUAGGCCCCACGGGGACGGAGACACGGCCCAGACGCCUACGGAGGCAGCAGUGGGGAAUAUUGCACAAUGGGCGCAAGCCUGAUGCAGCCAUGCCGCGUGUAUGAAGAAGGCCUUAGGGUUGUAAAGUACUUGAAGCGGGGAGGCGUUACCCGCAGAAGAAGCACCGGCUAACUCCGUGCCAGCAGCCGCGGUAAUAC